AGGAAGGAAGGAAGGAAGGAAGGAAGGAAGGAAGGAAGGAAGGAAGGAAGGAAGGAAGGAAGGAAGGAAGGAAGGAAGGAAGGAAGGAAGGAAGGAAGGAAGUGGUGGAGGAUGAGGGGUUACAGUCACGCUGAUCAGUGGCAUGCCGGAGGAAACGAGGAAGGAACAGACACGGGUCGCGCCUGCGCCUGGCGCACACAUGCAUCUCGCUGCCAGUUAAGAUGUCACGAAAUGCACACUGGGAAAAAAAAAAUCUGCAGGAUUGACAUCAAGAAAAUAUGGACAUCGGUUGCACACACGAACACCAAAUAAAAUCCUAUUCAUUUGUGUGACCAAUGGCCAGACUUUUUUUUGGGGGGGGGGGGGGGGGGUGUCAAUGCAACACACUUUUUUCAGUGCGGGUUGAAAUCCAUUUUAGAUGGCAUUGAAUUUUGUGCGUCUUCCCUCCUCUGUUUGAGUACUCCUUUUGUGAACCAAAACAUUCUUGCACAACUGAACUAAUUAAAAAAAAAAUUCAUCCACCCAUUCAUAUUUUUAAGGAAUUUUUUGAUGCAAUAAAAUGCCUUAAUCUAAGUGUGGUACACGGCCACUCUUUUAGGGCAAGCAAAAGAAUCACAGAAAAAUAAAAUCAUAUCCUGUAACCUAUAAGACUUGUUUUGUGCAUAAAGAGUACGUUUUUACAGUAAAUUGGAGGCACGCACAGGGCAUGAGCUGAGAUUGAAGAUUAAUAUACCAAGAAGUGAACUUUAACCAGAGUUGAAAGUGUUUUUCUCUCAUGUAAACAUGAAAAAUGGCUGAUUAGAGCUCCCUCUGCUGGCCGACUGCCUCUCAACAAUGUAUCCUUUUGAGAAAAGAGUCAUCCGAUAAAAAAAAACUGAGAUACCGUUAAAUAAUGGGACCUCACGAAAGUGAGUACGCCGAGAAUUAUAAAAUCAACGUCCCACAAGAAGACGGCUACCAUUGACCAAUCUGGAUUUAAAAAAAAAAAAACAACACAAAAAAGUAAAAUGGGAAGGUGUGGAUUUGUAUUGUUAUAAGACGAAGAGACAAUUAAGACCAGGAUGAUGAGAGGUACGUGAGAAAUUAUUCAUUUUGUAAUGGUGAAUCCUGGUUAAGUGACAUCUUUUUUUUUUGGGGGGGGGGGUUGUUUUUAUUUUAUAU